UACGGGAGGCAGCAGUGGGGAAUAUUGCACAAUGGGCGAAAGCCUGAUGCAGCUAUGCCGCGUGUAUGAAGAAGGCCUUAGGGUUGUAAAGUACUUUCAUCGGGGAGGAAAAAACAAACUAAUAAUUUUAUUUCUUGACGUUACCCGAAAAAGAAGCACCGGCUAACUCCGUGCCAGCAGCCGCGGUAAUACGGAGGGUGCUAGCGUUAAUCAGAAUUACUGGGCGUAAAGAGCACGUAGGUGGUUUUUUUAAGUCAGAUGUGAAAUCCCUGGGCUUAACCUAGGAACUGCAUUUUGAAACUGAAAUACUAGAGUAUCGUAGAGGGAGGUAGAAUUCUAGGUGUAGCGGUGAAAUGCGUAGAUAUCUGGAGGAAUACCUGUGGCGAAAGCGGCCUCCUAAACGAAUACUGACACUGAGGUGCGAAAGCGUGGGGAGCAAACAGGGAUUAGGAUACC
rnacentral:rRNA from 1 species